UACAGAGGUCUCAAGCGUUGUUCGGAUUCAUUGGGCGUAAAGGGCGCGUAGGCGGCGGGGUCAGUCGGGUGUGAAAUCUCAGAGCUCAACUCUGAAACUGCACUCGAUACUGCUCUGCUUGAGGACUGGAGAGGAGACUGGAAUUCACGGUGUAGCAGUGAAAUGCGUAGAUAUCGUGAGGAAGACCAGUGGCGAAGGCGGGUCUCUGGACAGUUCCUGACGCUGAGGCACGAAGGUCAGGGGAGCAAACGGG
rnacentral:rRNA from 1 species